AUGUCCAACUCUUUGGAGCAACAGUUUGGCGAGCUUAGUCUGUCGCAAGACGAGCAUGAUCAAAUGUACGAACAGGAAGAUCACCAGGACAGCCGGUCGUCAAAAGUGCUGAUCAGUGGGCUGCCCCUGCACGUUCGGUUCGACAACAUCGAGCCACUGCUCUUACAGUACGGCAACGUGCAGCACUGCGACAAAGCCAUCUCGCGCGAUGCGAACACCCAAGCGGUGUACAUCACCUUUGAAACCCCUGAACAGGCACAGCAGGCUAUUAAUCUCUUGAACGGAUUCGAGCUGGAGGGCAGCCGGAUGAAGGUGGAGCCGGCCGAGGGGCCCGCGCGGGGCGGAAGGCGCGGCAGGCCCGGUGGCGGCCGCGGCGGCGGCGUGCCAGGCACCGGCUCGCGUCCUACCGAUUUCCCGCUGCGUCUGUUGGUGCAGAGCGACAUGGUGGGCGCCAUCAUUGGCCGCCAGGGCAGUACCAUUCGCCUCAUCACACAGCAGAGCCGCGCCCGCGUCGAUGUGCACCGCAAGGAUAACGUCGGCUCCUCGGAGAAGGCGAUUACUAUCUACGGCAACCCAGAGAACUGCACAAAUGCAUGCAAGCGCAUUCUCGAAGUAAUGCAGCAGGAGGCCAACAACACUAAUAAGGGUGAGAUAUGCCUGAAGAUUCUUGCGCAUAACAACUUGAUUGGCCGCAUCAUUGGCAAAGGCGGCAACACAAUCAAGCGCAUCAUGCAAGAGACUGACACCAAGAUCACUGUGUCGUCCAUUAACGACAUCAACAGCUUCAACCUGGAGCGCAUCAUCACCGUCAAGGGCACCAUCGAGAACAUGGCUAAGGCCGAGUCGCAGAUUUCUGCUAAGCUGCGUCAAAGUUACGAGAAUGAUCUGCAGGUGCUGGCACCGCAGAGCAUAAUGUUCCCUGGGCUGCAUCCUAUGGCGAUGAUGUCGACGCGCGGCUAUUGCGGCGCACCACCGCCGUUCCCGCCUCCGAUCUACGCUCCGCUUUCCGGCCAGGGCGGUGCGCAGCAAGGCGCCGGCGACUCGCAGGAAACCACAUAUCUGUACAUCCCAAAUAACGCGGUAGGCGCGAUCAUCGGCACUAAGGGCUCGCACAUUCGCAACAUAAUUCGCUUCAGCAAUGCGUCCGUGAAAAUCGCACCCUUGGAGCAGGACAAGGGCGAAGGCGCUGGCGCUGGUGCAGGUGCGGGUGCCGCCGCCGCUCAACAGGAGAGGAAGGUCACCAUUGUUGGCAGCCCAGAGGCGCAGUGGAAGGCGCAGUACCUGAUUUUCGAGAAGAUGCGCGAGGAGGGUUUCAUGUCCGGCUCGGACGACGUGCGGCUGACAGUGGAAAUCGUGGUGGCUUCGUCGCAGGUGGGGCGCAUCAUCGGCAAGGGUGGACAGAACGUGCGCGAGCUGCAGCGCGUCACCGGCUCGCUGAUCAAGCUGCCGGAGCAGCCGCAGCCAGCCAACGCGGCGCACGACCACGAGACCACCGUGCACAUCGUCGGACCCUUCUACAGCGUGCAGCAGCCACCAGAUGGCGGGUGAACGCGCUUGGCCUCCAUUGGCAUCCGAUUUGACCACGGUUGACAAUGAAAUUCCAUUUAGGACGUCGCAUUAGUCGGCGCAGCGCCGCAUCCGCGCGAUGGUGGCGCAAGCGAGCGCGCCGGGCCGCCACCGCCGCGCCGCUCAGCCGCCGCCACAGUAGACGCCCGCCAGCCCGCACACUCGCCGGGGACCGCCGUAUCCGUUGUAGCGCCGACCCCACGCUCAGCACGCGCUCCUCGCGCAACCCCUCCCUUCACACGUUGCAGGAUAACCUAUGCAGUGAUUGCGGAUGGAUUGUAUUCAACUAUUUUCAAUAGCACCCUCCAUAACCAGUAGUGUUUCGCCUAUCUUAAAAGCAUAUGCAUGUUAUCAAUGGUUUCAAUGCACUCUCAAUCAAUUGACCCGUCUCAUACAAUUUCACACGAAUUCUCAAUUGGGUUUAUAUACUGGUUAUUGGUAGGUGUGAAUUUGUGUUAAUGAUUGGUAACUAUAAAAUGUAUCUAUAAUUUAUUUAUAACCUAUCUAUUGGAGUAUCUUAAGUAAUUAAAGAUAGAUAUUAUAGACCAGUCUUUUACCAAACUUUGUAAUUCAAUCUAUUUACAAUUAUCCAUAAGUCAAUAAUAUUUCCAAUGUUGGCCAGUUAUGUUGAUUGUAUUGAUUGUUAGAUAGAUUGAAUAAAAAGAUUGGUAUUUGCUUAGUUUUCACAUAUGCACCAACUCAAUUUGAUUAUGAAUUAUUUUGAUGUAUUAACUUCUAAGGUUAAUAUUUAACAUUAUUCAUAAGCAGAAUGGGUUGAUGUCAAAGUUGGAACUGAGUUUACGUGUAAUCAUUUGGUAUUAUAAAUACACGAAAGUGUACAAAUUUAUUUAAAACGGUUGAUGUGAAGUAUUUCCUCAGACUUGAGAACAGUAUUGUAUAAAUUUCAUCUUUUUUUUAGUUGCAAUGUAUACUUGGAAAAUUACAUAACUCUGUUUCAACCACAAUUUCGAAUAUAUUCGGGAUUAAAAAAUCGAUCACUGCGAAGGUUCUAGUUAUUUGGCGCGCAGUAUAACAAGUUGCCACCUCCAAUACAUGUUCGUGGUUUGCUAGAAUUGUCUAGUGCGAUUAUUAAUUGUCGCGGAACCGACCAGAAUUGAAAUUGUUAGAAUUUUCAUACCUACCUUACGCGCUGACGCGCUUUUCAGCUGUUGAACGCACCGGCUCGACUUGCAUUUAUAAAGCUUUCAGAUAUAAACAGAUGUUAUUCUAAGUGUAGAAUAUAAUUGUAUAGGUAUCUUGCGUAAAAUCUAGUUAGGAUUAAAAAUCGCACGUAACUUCGGAUACGUCGGCCCUACUAAUAACUUUUUAAUAUCGUAAAGCUAUGUCCCUACCGUGUUGAUAUUUUUGUAUUCGCCUAUGCGUCUCAAACGCCGGUGGGGACACACCUUUACAUUAUAUGUCUAUAUUAUACAUAUAUCUGUUUAGAAGUUGUGAAUUCUAUAACUGACGAUAUUAAGACCGGAGCGCGCGCUUGUAAAUAGCAAGGAGUCCUCUCGCUCGUUGUUGAUCGAUGUAUUAACUAUUAAACUAGUAGUAAAUAAAUAUUAAUCUUUCCGCAAUUAUACAUGUUGAAGACUAUUAUAUAUAACUAUAUAUACUUUUCAUAUACAAUUAUUUUUCAUAUAAACAGUUGACCCAAUGAGAUAUAUAAUUGUUAGAUUGUUUUCUUACCGUUAAUAUAUAUAUAUCCGAUGGUUACAUUGCAAUAGUUAUCCAUAUUAAGUUCUUAUACAAGUGUUAAGUAGACAAUGCAAUUAUACAGACGUGUAUUUUGUUUCGUUAUUGAGAUAGAUUAAUCUGUUACAUAAGAUACAUACGGUGUGUGGGUUUUAACAACUCGGGAUGGAUUAGUUGCAUUACUGAGGCUCGUUAAUGGAUUAUGGCGAUGAUGCUCUACUGUUUUCGCUUUACCUGGACCUGAAGGCCUGCCGCGGCCCUCGGCCCGCGCCGACGGCCGCGCCCGCCACAUUAUACGUUCCACACGAUAUUGGUAUUGUUAAUACCGUCUAGUGAUUGUUGGACGUUGACUGCUGGUUUACGAUUAAUUUGUAAGUGACAUUUGUUGAUCGUUUUCUUUAUAAUUUUGUUAGCUUUAUAACGGUUUUUUUUGUGUCGUCGCGUUUCUAGGGUACUCGCCCGCGCCGCGCGCUUGCAGCUGUUAUUUGAUACUAGUGUUUGCGAUUUGACCGCGAAUUAACGAUUCCUCGAAUGAUAAGUCAACAUGAGAAGCGAGUUUCACUCAAGUACCGAUUCCCACCCAACAACCGCCAAUUGGGCGAUAAAAGAAAUAAAAGACGCGUUUGGAACGCGCGACUCGACCGCUGCAGGCGCGCCGCGGCCCGCCGGCGAGCGAGCGCGGCGCCGCUUGAUGCGAGUGUAGUAUUUGUGUUAUUAUUGUGCCAAGGGAGAUAUAUUGUGAGAUUAAGAUUUAAGUGAAUGAUAUCAAAAUUGGAAAGCUUAGAUGUUUAUAUUUAUGAAUGUGAUAAUAAUAUAUGGAAGUUGUGGAACUGGAUGUUUCACGUGCUAGUUUCGAUCUUGUCAUCUUAUGUAAGUUAGUGUAUAUUAGUUAGGUGGCAGCAAGCUCCGAACACAAAAACCAGCUAUCCGAGUAGUUACAGGACUUGCCCGCUCCACUACACCUACUUGUGGCGUUUGCGUUUCACAGAGUCUCUUUGUAUUCCUAUACAAUAAGGAAAACAUACCAAUUUUAUUUUUUUAUAAUAUUAUUACAUAAAUAAAUAGCUUAUUCUAGAAAUAAACUAUUUAUGUUAGUAGUUCUUAUUUUGAUUAUUUAAUGUUCAAUUUAUCAUAAUAUAUUUAAUGAGUAUCUCUGUGAAAUGUAAAAAUCACUCUGAAGCGCCGAUCUCGCUGUAUCAAACCACUUCCAGAUAUUAUUAAUAAAUCUCGCAAUUGGACUUCGAAAAUUACCGUUGCACUGCGCUUGGGUAAUAAAGUGGGAUUGAACAAUUUGUAAUCGAACAUAUUUAAAUAAUUGCAAAAUAAACUCGAUGUGACUGAGAGAUAAAUAUUUCAGUUCAAUUAUUGUAUAAAGUGUAUCGCAUCCCACUGUGUUCCCAGGCGCGGCAGUGCUAUGUAAAAACGUGAUCGAUCAGUUUGUCAGUCACAACUCAAACCGGACAUGUUGACGGAAGGCGCGCGCCUGCUCACAACAACUUGUACUUACAUACUAGUACAAAUCCACUUCUCGGCGAUUAUGUACGCCCUCUUAGUGCCGGUCAACGUUGCUAUGUAUACCCUGUACGAAAAGAACAUCCAAAUCAUGAUAAUUAUGCAGUUUAUUUGUCAUAUUAUAUUCUGCGUUGAUCGAACGCAAUGUUGUCUAUAAAUUAAACUUAACUACGCAAACUUAUUGAUCUAUAAAACUUUGCACACUUGUUUGAAGUAGAUAUUAGCUAUGAAAUAAUAAUAAUUUUGUAUGUAUUACAUUAUCAGUGAAAUUUAUAUAAAAUUUGAAAUAGCAUCCAAAUCAUGAUGAAUAUGAUGUUUAUUUGUUAUAUUUUCCGUGUUGAUCGAACGCAAUGUUGACAUAAAAUAAAAUGAAAUGAAAUGAAAUCAAAACUAAUGAAAUGAAAGAUAAUGACUACCCAUGAUAUUGAUCAAAAAAAUCUUCGCACACUUGUUUGAAUUAUUUGAAUUAGACUUUGCUAUGUAAUAUAAUAUUUUUUUGUAUGUACUACAUUAUGAAUGAAAUUUAUAUAAAAUCGGAAUUGGAUAAAGAUCGGUACAAAUCAUAAAUUAUGCAACGCGUUGCCCGUCAAUUCUUUUUUUAUGAUUUUUGCUUUUACUACAUUACUACAUUAAAUUGCGUAUGCGCGGGCACGCGUUGUGGAAUAACGAAUAUAAGUUGUAAGAAGGGGGUGGCCGUCAGUUCUUAUUGGAAGUCCCGGCGAGCUUAUGGUGAUAAGCUUUGGUCGUUUGACGCGCGCAUUCCCUUCUGUGAUGUGCACGUUUUGAUGAGAUUCUGUUUGAUUUCGCUGGCUCAUUCAUCAUAUAAAUUUAAUAUCAAUCAUCAAAGUUUAUUUCUAUGGAACAAAAUUAUGGUAUGACUAUUAAAUAUUCAUUUAAAUCAUUUUUCGUAAUCGAGUACUUGGUACACGCCUAUUUUUUAAUUAUUUCAAAUGAUCAACUAAGCUUUGUUGUGAUCCCUAUAUGGCAAAUCAACGGAACAAGUAUAUGUUCCAAAUAUUGACAAUAAAGUAUAUUUUAAAUGGUUUGUAUAAAGUUGCGACAAUACACUGUGUAAUGGACUCCCGAGUUUGAUUCUGACGAGCCAGCGCUUUCACGCCGGUCAAAAUUAUUGUAACUACGUUCCAUACAACAUGUAUUCGUUUUUCCUCCUUUAGUAUUAGUACAAAGAUGCGUACUUAAAUUAUAACAACAGUGUUCCGUUUGGCCGAAAUGUCGGCUCAAUACUUGACACACAUUCCAUAAUGUAUUUUUAUAUUCGUCAUGGCGUCACUAACCCCGAGGGGGGAUAGUGCGUCGUCAGCGGGCAGGACCCAAACUGCACCACUUAAACAAUAUGGGACACAUAGCCUCCAGACCCGAAACGUUCACACAUUUAAUUAUUAUCAGCACUAGCGCUAAAGCCGCGAUAUAGUUUUUUCAACCACCGAAUGCGAUUUCGCAGGGUGUUUUUAAUUUUAUUUUAGUGAUUUGGUGAGUUUUCGUUUAUCGAGGCAUGAGGUUAUGUAGGCGUACAAGCGGCGGCGAAAUGCGCGCCGCCAGCGCCGCCCCGAGGCGUGGGGCGCGCGGUGCGCCAGCGCAUUCCGCCGCCGCGCGGUAUGACCAAUCGAGAUGACGCAAACAAUGAGAAGCAGUUAGGACUGAGCGCGGAGCCAGCCGCGCGGCAGGACAAGUGUACAUAUAGGCGUGUGGUUAUUCCUUCCAAGUAAAGCAGGAGUCGUAAUGCUAGCCUCAUUAUGAUUUGUUCGUUUAGCAAGCAGAAAUGAAUAGUUUUUAGUUUAUUGUAUCGUUGUGAAGUAGUGUUAAGUUGUGGCGGGCGCGGGCGGGCGGCCCGAGACUGAACUACACCUGCCGCCCGGCUCGCGCUCCGCCAGUCCUAUCCCCCCCCCCCCCCCCCUCCUUUUCCUUACCCUUUAUAUCCUUAAUACCCUUUACACCCUUUACCCUUACAUGUCAUUUUCCCUAAUUACUUUAUCGUUCUUGUUUGGUUGAUUGUACUGUUACAUUAAUUAUACUUUAAUUUGUAAUGUGUGUAAUCAAUUUUGUGUAUUUGGCGUGUGAUCGAAUGGUUUUCGAUUUGAUUGUGCGUGCUUGAUCAGGCGUAUUCCGAGUGAUGCACGCGUCACGGAUGGCAUGUAAUAUGUGUAAUAUUGAAUAAUAAAUAAAUGUUUACGGUAUGUAUUAGUUGGCGCGCGGCGUCGUGAUGCUUCUCAUAUCGUUAGGUCGCAGGUACAACAUGUAAGUUUGUUUACGUUCACGUUCACGACAAUUCACAUGUACCACACAAAUUUUCUUUUCUGUUAUUUUAGAGCCAUUUUUGUAAUUGGUAUAAGUUCUGAAACUAAUAACUACCUCAAUAUUACUAAAUGAAUAUGAUAAUUAUCUUUGUGCAUGUUUUUGGGAACUGAAUUUAAACUGAAAUUUCAAUAUAGUAUAAGAAUGCUAUUUUCACCGUAACGGAAAAUAUUGUCAAAUUUAGGUUUCUUAAUGUAAUAAAACGAUGAAAAUUA
rnacentral:misc_RNA from 1 species